UUUUUUUUUUUUUUUCUAUUUUGCUGACUUUCUUUUUUAAAAGCAAAAUAAAUUGAGGUGACUUGUUCAGGGUUAACUGUUUGGCAGGUGGAUGACCUGUGGUCAUCCACGACGAGAUCACCUCCCUGCCCUGCUGACCCCCAGCCUCUAGAGGUCAGGGCUUCUGAGGCCCAGAAGCUCAGAGCCACACCUGUUGAAGGCCAGUGAUGUCAGAAUUACUCUUCCUUCCUCCAGCAGCAUUGACAGCAGUUUAUUGUACGCAGUUUCUAGAACUCAGAUGUUCUAGAAGGAAUGAUUGAGCUCAAAGCAACACUAGGCAUGAUGUGCCUUGUUUAUCUGUUUGAACAGGAGUAAAACAAAAAGAGGCCUAUGUAUUUCUCGUAUUUUUAUAUAAGAGCUGGAGCUAUUUGAAUGGCUAAGGAGGAGAAGAUAGUUUGAUUUAGAUUUGGCACAGGUUUAGGGGAAGAAAUGUCUUUGUAGCUGGUCCUAAAUAUUAUGGUAACUUGGACUGAGUCAGUCUCCAAGGGAGAAGUUGCCACAUGUUAUAACAGAAGCCACUGGGCUUGGCAAGAAAAGAAAUGAAAAAAGUACAACGAAAGCAACCCCACUUCUCCAUCGUGGCGGGGAUGAGCUAGGCAGGAUGACUGCAUGUAACCGUCUUCCUUUCCCUUUGCCUGACCAAAUCCAGCACUGCCCUUUCAAAUCAGUCUUCAUCACAUUCCAAAGAAUACAAAAUACGCAAGUCAAUUUUAAUUUCCAAUGAAUUCUUCAGGAGAAAUUUUUCUUCCUUACUAAAAAAAGAAUAAAAAAUUCAGAAUAGAUUCAAAAUGAGGGGUGGCAGCAAAAAUUCUGACUCUCGGAAGGUUGAGAGGGUGCCUUUUUCAAAUGUAUUUAUUUUAUAGUUCCAAGAAGGUAAGAGUACCUUCUGUUUUGAUUCAUGCUCCACCAUUCCCCUCUUAAAUUUUAAAAAAAUUACAUCCUUGCCUAUGUCUGUCUUGCUAUUUUGACUGGCCAUUCCCAAACAUAAACUGCCCUAGUUUGAAGCUUCUCAAAGCCAAGCAAAGGUGACAGUCUAGUACAAAGAAGGCCGCUAGUGAGUUUUCACUGAGUGAAUCUACAUUGUUCCGUGGCCUUAGUCUGGAUAUGGAUUCUAAAGCUUCUUACACUGACAAAAACGGAGUUUCUAGCUCUCCGGGUAAUUUUCGGUGAAAGAAAAUUAUAAAAGAAGGCAUAAACCUUGGCUCACAAAAUAAAUAUGCACUCAGACCCAUGUACUUCAUGAAACAUACAAGCCCAGAGCUAGACCAUGCCAUCUGUUUUAUGAGGAAAAAAAGUAAAUUCACAUGAUUUACUUGAGCUCUGCCAGAAAUCAUCAGCAUCUACUUGCACAACUAAAGACAAGAAGACAAGGCAGAUGGAGGCUAAACACCGAAUACUGCCUAAUUUUGAUGUGUAUUUUUUGGUCAAACCUCUUAUAAUUUACUAUUUCCAAGAGGAAAAAUAAGCUUAUAUAAUGGCAGUGAAUCAUUAGUUUCCAGUUAUGGGAAGCAAAGGAAAUUAACCUCAAGGAGAAAAAAAUGCUACAAAUAUAAAUUAUCUAGUUUCAGUUUACAAAGCAUGUACUGCCUUUUCUUUCUUUUUUUAAAGAAGAUAUGUUUACGAAAUAGGUGACAGACUAAGGUAGGUGUGUGUGAAGAGAGGCAGUGAGAGAGAGGGGAGCCUGAAAUUCUUCUCAGUACAGGAAAAAGAUAAUUUUUGGGAUGUUUUAAAAAAUAUAUAACUUGAUGAAUAUUUUAUAGCAUGAGUAUUACUUAGGUGCUGUCCUAGACCAGUGUGGUGUACAGGCUAUAAAAGAUUGGUCCUGAAUCCUAACGGCAGGGAUGAGUAUAAGAUUAUCAAGACUUCUUUGCGGGAAGGAGAGCUACUGACAAAGCCGUGUAUUACACGACUCCAGUCCGGGCUGAGAGACCUGUCUUAAAGCAUAGCUAGAGGGCAGACGUGGUGGCUCAUGCCUGUAAUCUCAGCACUUUGGCUGAGGCAGGCAGAUCACUUGAGGUUAGGAGUUCGAGACCAGCCAACAUGGUGAAACCCCAUCUCUACUAAAAAUACAAAGAUUAGCCAGGUGUGGUAGCGUGUGCCUGUAGUCCUAGCUACUCAGGAGGCUGAGGCAGGAGAAUGGCUUGAACUGGGGAGGCAGAGGCUGCAGUGAGCCAAGAUUGUGCCAUUUGCACUCCAGCCUGGGUGACAGAGUGAGACUCCAUUUCAACAACAACAACAACAAAAAAGCACAGACAGAUACAAUGUCCUGGAAUCACUAAAAUGGAUAAACUAUGAUGUCCAUAAAGUGGAUAAGUUAUGAUAUACAUUCACACACUAGAUAUACUCAUUACGAUAUGCUCAUAUCUAUCGUGAGGGCUAAACCCACAUAAGUCCAUAACGCACUCACAGGUCUGUGCUCUUUGGCCCUGGUCCUGUAGUCAUUCAGAAGCGAUCACAGAGAACACAAUGGGUCUGUUAGUCGCUCUGUACACAGUCAUGUGCAGCAUAACAUUUCAGUUAAUGGUGUACCACAUCCAUGAUGGCGGGCCGGUAAGAUUACGUGGAGCUGAAAAUUCCUAUUGCCUAGUGACACUGUAGCCAUUGUAACACACUGCACGGCUUUGCUUUUUCUAUAUUUAUGUAUGCUUAGAUAUAUAAGCACUUACCACUGUGUUACAAUGUAUUCAGUACAGCUGUAGUGUAGGCUGUACAGGUUUGUGGCCUAGGAGCAGCAGGGCCAUAUCAUAUCGCCUAGGGAUGUCGUAGGCUAUACCGUCUAGGUUUAUGGAUAUACACUCUAUGAUGUUCACACAAUGACAAAACUGCCUAUCCACACUGUUAAGUGACACAUGACAGUAUAUGCAUUAAGCACCUACUAUGUGUCAGGUAGUGUACUUGGCAGGUGCGAAGUAUGGUGGAGAAUCAAUAAAGGCCCUCACAGAGUUCAUAGUCUACGGGGAAGAAUGGUGAGCUCCAGUAUAGAUACCCAGUAUAGACACAGCCAAGUGACCAAGAGCACUGGCUUGGAGUCAUUCAGAUGCAGUUUAAUCCUUGGUUCUGCUACUUGCUUUGGAAAUGUGACUUAACUCCUUAAUCACUGCUUACUUUAUAUGUAAAAUGGGAUGGUAAUGCCAGCCUUCAGGGCUGUUGAGAAGAUUCCAUGAGACAAUGUUUAUAAAGCACUUAAAACAGCAUCUAGCACACAACAGACCUAAUAAAUGGGAGUUAUGAUGACUGUUCUCUCAAAGAACCAAGGGACACACACAAAGAGGUUUGCUAUGUUCUCCCCCAGAACACACCCCAAAAUGCUGAAUCAGGAGCCAACUCAUAUCACCACUUUAUCACACUCCUGUAUCACCCUGGGCAAAUCAGAUGCCCACCAAUGUCACUAGGCUAGACAGCAAAGUCUAGUUGCUAAAAAUAUACUCCAGCAGGAGGUCUACAAUGUUGCUGUAAUGGGAAUGCUUUCUGUUUUUCAAGGCGCUAAGAAGCAUUAUCGAAGGGCCUCUUGAAAAAUAACUUGUAAGCAUUUUCUCUUUCAACACAAGCCCUACCAAGAGCGCACUACCAUCAUAAAUAUUCUGGACAUUGGUUCCAAAGGGAGAGAUGAAAAGCUGUGCCCAGGGCAUUAAGCUGAGAAGUGGUGGAGUGGUCAACAGCACAACCUCUGCAGACAGGCUGCCUGAGUCUUCAGUCCUGCUCUGUCACUCAGGACUCAUUGCUUAAAAUCUGUAAAAUGGGAUACUAUUAUUCCCUAUCUCAUUAGGUAGCUGUAAGGAUUAAAAUCAUUAACACCUGUAGGGCAACUAAAACAGUGCCUGACAUACAGAGAACAUUCCAUAAACAUUACCAAUAAUUACGCACGGCAAACUCAGUAACUUCAUUACCUUGCUAAUAAAAACAUGAGGGCCAAAUAGCAAGAAAGCACCUGAACUACACCAGAGGUUUGAAACCUGAGUUUUCUCCUUGGCUCUCCCAUCAGCCUUCUGCAUGACUGUGGGUACAUCACAUCCCUUCUGUACUUCACUAUUCUCAUCUAUACAAAAAGCAAUAUACACAUACACCAAGAACACCUAGAGAAGCCUGAUGCAGCUUUCUGCUAAUAUCAACGGGAGUCGAACAGUUUAAAUUUCUUUAUCUUCCUAUCUGCAUUAGUCAGGGUUCUCCAGAGAAACAGAACCAAUAGGGGGAGAGGGAGAGGUAAACGGAGAUUGAGAGAGAGGUUGAGAUUGAGAGAGUGAGUGGUGGGGGUAGGGGUAGAUACUGAUAUUUACCUUAAGGAACUAGCUCAUGCAAUUAUAGGGACUGACAAAUCCACAAUCUUCAGGGCAUGCCGGUGACCAAGGGAAGAGUUGAUGUUGCAGUCUUUUUUUUUUGUUUUUUGAGACAGA
ensembl:lncRNA